rnacentral:rRNA from 1 species
GAUGAACGCUGGCGGCGUGCCUAAUACAUGCAAGUCGAGCGAACGGACGAGAAGCUUGCUUCUCUGAUGUUAGCGGCGGACGGGUGAGUAACACGUGUAUAACCUACCUAUAAGACUGGGAUAACUUCGGGAAACCGGAUCUAAUACCGGAUAAUAUUUUGAACCGCAUGGGUCAAUAGUGAAAUACGGUCUUUCGGUCACUUAUAGAUGGAUCCGCGCUGCAUUAGCUAGUUGGUAAGGUAACGGCUUACCAAGGCAACGAUGCAUAGCCGACCUGAGAGGGUGAUCGGCCACACUGGAGGUGAGACACGCUCCAGACUCCUACGGGAGGCAGCAGUCGGGAAUCUUCCGCAAUGGGCGAGAGCCUGACAGAGCAACGCCGCGUGAGUGAUGACGGUCUUCGGAUCGUAAAACUCUGUUAUUAGGGAAGAACAUAUGUGUAAGUAACCGUGCAGAUAUUGACGGUACCUAAUAAGAAAGCCACGGCUAACUACGUG